GUAGUCCACACUGUAAACGAUGAUUACUAGGUGUGGGGGGAUAGACCCCCUCCGUGCCGCAGCUAACGCAAUAAGUAAUCCACCUGGGGAGUACGGUCGCAAGACUGAAACUCAAAGGAAUUGACGGGGGCCCGCACAAGCAGUGGAGUAUGUGGUUUAAUUCGACGCAACGCGAAGAACCUUACCAGGUCUUGACAUCCCGUGCAUAGCAUAGAGAUAUGUGAAGUCUUUCGGGACACGGAGACAGGUGGUGCAUGGUUGUCGUCAGCUCGUGUCGUGAGAUGUUGGGUUAAGUCCCGCAACGAGCGCAACCCUUAUCGUUAGUUACUACGCAAGAGGACUCUAGCGAGACUGCCGUUGACAAAACGGA
rnacentral:rRNA from 1 species